AGAGUUUGAUCAUGGCUCAGGAUGAACGCUGGCGGUCUGCUUAACACAUGCAAGUCGAACGGACUCUUCGGAGUUAGUGGCGGACGGGUGAGUAACGCGUGAGAAUCUACCUUCAGGACGGAGACAACAGUUGGAAACGACUGCUAACCCCCGAUGAACCGAAAGGGCAAAUAUUUAUAGCCUGAAGAAGAGCUCGCGUCCGAUUAGCUAGUUGGAGAGGUAAAAGCUCACCAAGGCGACGAUCGGUAGCUGGUCUGAGAGGACGAUCAGCCACACUGGGACUGAGACACGGCCCAGACUCCUACGGGAGGCAGCAGUGGGGAAUUUUCCGCAAUGGGCGAAAGCCUGACGGAGCAAGACCGCGUGGGGGAAGAAGGCUCUUGGGUCGUAAACUCCUUUUCUCUGGGAAGAACAAAAUGACGGUACCAGAGAAUCAGCUCCGAUUCCCCC
rnacentral:rRNA from 1 species